CUCAGAAACCCCAUCUAACACACUUUCAAUAUCGAUCUUACCUUCUUUAAGUGCAAUAUCUUUAUACGAUACGCCGUGCUCCAUUAAACUUUCAAUACCAUUUCCGUUUACGCCAAUGACUUCAAGUAAAGUGUCAUAUGGACUACCCGUUAUAUAAAUUAAUUCAUCACCAUGUUUUAAUAAACUUUGUAAUGCAAUAGUAAUCGCAUGCGUACCUGAAAUAA
rnacentral:sRNA from 1 species